GCACUGCUGAGGAGUCCCACAAUAGGACGAAACGGCUGUACAGCGC
rnacentral:hammerhead_ribozyme from 1 species